GGCCGCUUAGCUCAGCUGGUUAGAGCAUUGUACUAAUACUCCGAGUCGAGAAUUAGCCCAUCCACCAUGCAAAGGUCGGCAGUUCGAUCCUGUCAGUGGUCA
rnacentral:tRNA from 1 species